rnacentral:rRNA from 1 species
ACGCCUACGGGGGGCAGCAGUAGGGAAUUUUCGUCAAUGGGCGCAAGCCUGAACGAGCGAUGCCGCGUGAGUGAAGAAGGCCUUCGGGUCGUAAAGCUCUGUUGCGGGGGAAAAAAGGCAGCAUCAGGAAAUGGGUGCUGACUGAUGGUGCCCCGCCAGAAAGUCACGACUAACUACGUGCCAGCAGCCGCGGUAAUACGUAGGGGGCGAGCGUUAUACGGAAUGAUUGGGCGUAAAGGGUGCGCAGGCGGUGCAGCAAGUCUGGAGAGAAAGGCGUG